AAAUUUUUCCUCCCCAGCAGUUGGAAUAAGCAGCAGGAUAAACUUUACUGACUGGACAUUGCUGCAUCUGAGAAAUCCUGUGACAUCCGACAAAAGCCGGCACAAAGUAGCAUUUAGUUAUCUAUACAAGCCAAUGCAUAGUGGGGAGCCUUAAGAAAGCCCUGAUGACAUCUCCUGCUUAUGCUGGCUCUGAGUGCUCACCACAGGAGGAAAAAGGGAGCACCCCCAUGGCAAACAGACAUGGUUUUGGGGUACUACAAAUAAAACAUCUAUGAACAAUGGAUUCAAGUUUCUGUGUGGACAGGAGUUUU
rnacentral:lncRNA from 1 species